AUACCACAAAGGAUGGGGAAUAAGAGAUGCUCCCUCUGCCCCCAUGAGCCCCCUUAGCCAGCCUCCUGCCUCCUGCUUCCCAUCUCUCCAAGGGGAUCCACCCUGAGUCUGACCAGCAUCCCCGUGUUCCCUGUGGCCGGGAUCAGGCAGGGACACAGAGAUUGCUUGAGACACUUUCUGGUGACUAAUGCAGUAUACUUGAACAGGAAACAGACUGGAAAGGACUUAGGGGGAGCUAUAAAUAGCCCAUGUCCUAAAAAAAUGAACUUGGGAAGAAAUGGAAUUAACAAACUGGGAGGAGAACAAGGAGAUCACAGGCUCCAAACAAGACCAAGCUUUCUCUUGGGAAAUGAGCUUUUCUCCCAGAUGGAGCUCCAUCUGCCCUUGCAGGAUCAGCUCCCCCAAGUGUGCCCUGCUCCACCCUGGGGUUGACCAGCCAGCUCAGCCUGCCUGCCAAUAUGAUGCCUGGAAUUGUCUGUGGUUCUGGGGGCCAAGCCUUGUCAGGAUCAUCACGUAAGGGUCUCCAUCUUCCUUGCAGCACUGCUUUCUGUCCAGCCUCCCUGCAUACCCACUUCAUCACACAGGGAAUGGCAAACACUGAGCUGCUGGGGGAAAGGCCUGCAGGGCCCUUCUGAGCUUUGUCGCCAGCUCUGGGGUCAGCAGGAAAGAAUGCAGUGACUGACCAGUGAUCACUGCCUCAAGGACCACGAGAAGAGGGGAAAGCCCUGGUAUGAAUGAGCUUGUACCCUUCACCUCGCUGCGUCUUGGUUUCCUCUUUUACAUUUUUCUAAGGAUUCUUCAGUAUGGAUAUGAGGAAAUAUAAUUGUCUAAUUUCAUUAGAGAGUGGAUCCAGGCAAUGCAAGCCGAGUGCUUUGCCAGUACUAGGUGCGGUGGAGGAAAAAAUUAGAUUAUUCACAGGUUCAAAUUGAGAUUCUCACCUUAUUACUCACACAGAGAGACUAAAGGUAUCAAUUUCUGCUCUCCCCAGCCAGGCCUACCCACAGGAGCUAGAGAUAUUCAACUGCCUUAUUUAGCUUCACCCAGGCCCAGGAGCUGCUGAAAUUAGACCUGGCCUGGUAGUGGGAACCCCAUCUGGGCAGUGGGAGAGAAAGGGUUAAGAUCUGUGAUCAUCGCAUGUUCUUACUCAUAAGUGGAAGCCAAACAAUGGGAACACAUGGACACAGGGAGGGGAACAACACACACUGGGGCCUGUGGCAGGGCAGGGGGAAGGAGAGCAUCAGGUCAAAUAGCUAAUGCAUGCUGGGCUUAAUACCUAGGUGAUGGGUUGAUAGGUGUAGCAAACCACCACGGCACAUGUUUACCUAUGUAGCAAACCUGCACAUUCUGCACAUGUAUCCUGGAACUUAAAGUAAAACUAAAAAAUGUUUAAAAUAAUUAAAAAGAAAAAGAUCUGCGUUUAUGACCCAAGGUUCCUGAGAAGGCUCCCUGCCUUGGGCCUCCACCUCUGUUCUCAGCUCCAGCCUUUCCCCAGCCCAAUCUGGGUAACUGAGCUUCUGCCCCAGGUUUUCCAGUGAGCAAGAAGUCCCCUUAACCCCAUUCAGCUGGGAUUCUAUGGUCUUGCCAACUUCCCCUAUCAUUUUUCCUUUUAGACCACGCCCUAUUCCUGAAUCCAAAACCACUUCCUGCUUCAAAGAGGAAGUUCCUUCAGAAGCCAGAUGCUGUUACCCACCUGAAAACAAGUAUCUUUGGCAAAAGCCAGAGACUCCUCCUGUCAGAGCCCUGCCCACCUGCCUGAGAGCCCCUGCCAGGUCAGCAGCCAGUAUGUUAACCCCCCUGAGGGCCCUAGGCCCCCGCUACUCCUGUCCCGGCAGGUCUCAGAGCUGAGCCCAGAGGGUCACGACAGGAAGAAGGCAGAUGCCUUCCAUACUGACUAGGUUUUUGGCUUGCUUUGCACCAACAUCCUGUCUGCCCUGUUUCCUACUGAGGGCAAACUGGACUGGUUUUUAAUUAAACCCAUUCCCCCAGAGAGCUUGGGGGAGAGAUAGCCUCAUAGAAUUCCUUCAGUAGUUAUCAGAAGGAGACCCCGUGGAGGCAGAGGUUGCAGUGAGCAGAGAUCGUGCCACUGCACUCCGGCCUAGGCAACAGAGUAAGACUCCGUCUAAAAAAAAAAAGAAAAAAGAAGGAGCCAGGGUGGGGGGUGGGAACAGGAGAGAGGGAGGGGGGAAAGUGAAGUCACAAGUCCAGAGUGGUUCCUUCCUGGCUGAGCUAAUGCCCUAGCAAUGCACCUUAUGUAAUGGGCAACUCACCUGAGCGUCUGAGCCCAUAGGAGUGCCAGCCCCUCCCUGUGGUGCCUCCCCUGCAGGGCCCACAGCCACACCCUCAGUGCACACACUCUCCUUCCUAUCCAUCCACUGAUACCUGGGGAUGACCUUUGAACGAUGUCCAGCAAAUCAAGCAAAUUAAAGGCAAUCACAUCCACUGUAAUACAUCUGCUUGGUAGAACAUUUGAACAGAGAAAACAUUCCCCAGAGCUCCACCCCUAGAGAUAGUUUUUCUUUUAUUUUUUUCACCCAGGUUGGAGUGCAGUGGUGCAAUCUUGGCUCACUACAACCUCUGCCUCCCAGGCUCAAGCAGUUCUCCCACUUCAGCCUCUCGAGUAGCUGUGACAACAGGUGCAUACCACCACACCCGGCUAAUUUUUUGUAUUUUUGGCAGAGACGAAGUUUUGCCAUAUUGCCCAGGCUGGUCUCAAAUUCCUGAGCUCAGGUCAUCCACCUGCCUUAGCCUCCCAAAAUGCUGGGAUUACAGGUGUGAGCCACAACACCCGGACUUCUAGAGAUAGUUUCUAUAUUCUAGAGAUGUUUUUAUUUUUAUUUAUGUUUAACCAAAUUAAACUCUUCAGUUCUUCUUUCUGGUGCUUCCUUUGGUCUUUAGCUGAGUCCCUCUCCAAAACUAGAGGCCAUAGGGUUGCUGUGGCUUUUCCAUCCCCAUCAUAAAGGGUAGUGCUCCCUCAGUGAUUGGUUUCAGGAUUCUCCCCAAUACAAAUCAGGCCUCCAAGAACCAUGUCCCCUUCAGAGAGGAUUCCUAAGCUUCCUCCUCUUCCUCCUCUUCUUACUGCAAGGGAAAUACAAGAUCAGUCUGGAAUGGGCUUCCAGAUUCAUACAACCUCCCCCAGGACACAGAUUCCGGGAGAGAGAAGAGGAAGGCAGGUUUGGAGCCUCCACCACCACCAGUUUCCCUCACGCCCUCCUCUCUCCCUUCCCCUCUUUCUCAACUUCCUCCUUUCCCUCUCUUCCUUCUAUGAUCUGUCCCUGCCCCUCUGUCUCCUCUUCCUUUCCUUCCUUCCUCCCUUUUCUCCUCCCUUCCUUAGCAGGCAGCAAUGAGCAGGUGGCACUGAACUUAGAUUCCACCAUCACAGGUGGGUAGAUCUUGGCUCACAAGCCUGUCAUUGACUAGCUAAGUAGCCCUGAUUGGAGGAGUCAUUUUAUUUCCCUGAGCCUUUGUUUCUCAUCUGCAACAUGGAGAUUUUACUCACCACCGUGGUGCAGACAAAGUAGGACAAAGUAUCCUUUAACCCAGGGCUUGACACGUGACACUCAUCAAACAUUGCUGAGCUCUAAUCUGCAUCAGGAUAUGGUAAGUGUCUACUGGGUGCUGGGACAAAAGGUACAGAUGGGAGCAAGGCAGAGAUCCCUAAACAGACCUCUGUUGUGAUCUUUGUUGUAAUACAUGGUAAUUAUUUGUUUCCAAAAAGAGGUGGAAGGAGACAUAGAUAGCUUCUACCGCCAGGCAUUCAGGCACCAGCUGUGAAGGCCUUCUGCACAUUGAAAAACUCAGAGUAGCCUGGUGGCUGGAAUGAAAAGUCAACACCAGUUCCCCCAGCAAAAUAUUUCUCCAUUCAGCCUUUUCGGCUCAUUGGUUUGCCUGAAAUCAGUUGUUUCUCCCUGGGGAAGCAAUCUUUAAAAUGGUGAGGAGAGUGUGCAUCUGAUGUGCCUGCACUUGUGCCUGUGAAACAGGGUAGGCUCAGAGCUCCGUGCAGGCCCAUGAAGUCCCCUCAGAGACACCAGUGUUGGGUUGUCAUAGGGUCCCAGAAAAUGCCUGUCUGCUUCGUGAGAUUUAGGCUGGGUGCACAGAGGUUUCACUUGGUGUGCCUGACUUAUUUAGGGGCUGCCUGAAGUGCCAUGUGAGAAAGGAGGCUGAGGGCGUUGGGUUUGGAGGAAGAGAGCACUAGGGUGGAUUAGCAGUAUCUGCUGCAAGUGGAAUUUGGAGGGGAUAGAAAUCGUGCGUUCAGCUUAUUUGGCAUCUCUGGGUUGGCCUCACUUUGGCAGUUGGUUCCUGCUGGCUGGGCUCUGCUCACACGCAGUGAGAGGUCUCUCAGAGGCUCUUUGUUCUGCUGCUGGGGAUGCCUUGGGAAUGAUGCCCUGGGGUGCACUGCCACAUCCCACACAAAAGGUCUCCUUAGCUGGAGAGCCUUACCAGGUGCAUGGAGGGGAAGACGCGGUACCAUAAAGAUGAGGAUUCCUCUCAAAGUAAUAUAUGCAUUGAAUGAAAUGCCUACUUCAGUAAGGAAUUUCCCAAAGCUUUACAAGCUAAUUCUAAAAUUCACAUGGAAGAGAGGCCAGAGAAUAGCUUAAAUUACUUUGAACAAGGAGGGGAGACUUAGCUGCCAGCUAUUAAAAUCCAUUAUUAAGGCACUGAUGUUAAAGAAUCACCACACAAAUAGACAAACAGACAUUGGAGCAGAAGACAGGGAACAGAAAGACGCUCAUAUGUAUCUGGAUAACAUUGACAGGAAAAUCAAAUUGUAAUGUCACAUACAGGAGUCUUCAUGAAGGUAAGAUGUUUAAAAACAUUUUUAAAAGUAUAAAACAUUGUUUAGAAAUAUACGCCUUUGUAGUAAAUGUGUAAAAACACGCAUUAGAAUGAUGAACACCAAAUUCCAGAGAAAGGGAAUGGAUCCCUGUGGGGCACAGAGUGUGCAUUAACUAUGUUUAUGUCUUUAAAGGAAGAAAAUAUUUGAAGCAGAUAUGGCAAACGGAGAAGAUUCAUGAAAGCUGGAUGGCCGGCGCAUGAGCGUUUGCGGUGUCAUACUUUGUUUCCUUAUGUUUGAAAUAUUAGCAUGGCUGGGCAUGGUGGCUCACGCCUGUGAUCCUAGCAUUUUGGGAGGCUGAAGCUGGGGGAACACUUGAGGUCAGGAGUUCAAGACUAGCCUGGGCAACAUAGUGAGACCUCAUCUCCAAAAAAAAAAAAAAAAAAAGAAAGAAAGAAAAUGAAACAUUAGGGAAAAAAAAUCCCCCAUGUGCCUGGUCUGCCGGAUUCCCCCAGUAGCCUGGUUAUGGCUUGGGAGGGGAAAAGGAGGGGUGUUUUUGUCUAUUUCUCACAUAUGACACUCAAUGACUUCACAAUCAUUAAUUCAUCACCCACUAAGGGUCAUGCACUGAGGUACCAAGACUAAUGAAGGUCCGGCCCUCCCCAGUGUAGGAGGCAGGUAAAUGAUCACACUGUGACAAAUGCUCAAACGGGGAUGUGCUUGCAAAGGCUAGAGACAGCACGGGAGGAAGGAGCAGUCCAUUCUGCUGAGAGUGUGAGUACCGAGAAAGCAUGGCACUGGGCUUGAAGGAUGAGGAGUUCGCCAGACACAGAGGAUGAGGAGAGCAGCACGUGAGUAAAGAAAACAGAGAAAGGAACUCUCUGUCAUGUUGUGGGCUGGAGGGCAGCAUUCACACUGGACAAGUGCUUCAGAAAGAUCCUUCUGGCAGGUAGUGGGCAGAAAAAUGAGUGAAGUCAGAGCGAUCGACUAGGAAUCCACUGAAAGUGGAUUUAAAUGAGAGGUGAUGAAAAACUCAGCUACAGCUGGGCGAGGUGGCUCACACCUGUGAUCCCAGCAUUUUGGGAGGCCGAGGUGGGCGGAUCACAAGGUCAGGAGUUUAGGACCAGCCUGGCCAACAUGGUGAAACCCUGUCUCUACUAAAACAAACAAACAAACAAAACUCUCUCUAUAUAUAUGUAUAAUAUAUUAAUAUAUUAUAGAUCUAUAAUAUAUUAAUAGAAUGUAUUAUAGAUAUAUAUUAAUAUAAUGUAUUAUAUAUAUAAAUAUAAUAUAUUAUAUAUAAUAUUAUUUUAUAUAUAUAUAUACACACACAAAAAUUAGCCAGGUGUGAUGGCAGGCACCUGCAGUCCCAGCUACUCGGGAGGGUGAGGCAGGAGAAUCGCUUAAACUCAGGAGACAGAGGUUGCAGUGAGCUGAGGUCACACCACUGCACUCCAGCCUGGGCGAAAGAGCAAAACUCUGUCUCAAAAAAAUAAAUGAAUAAGAAAAAAAGAAAAGAAAAAGAAAAACUCAGCUACAACAGAGUGACUGGUUAUAAUUUCCCUGCAAAACUGCUAAUUCUCUGAUGGAGGGACAAGCGCUGAAUCAGGUUUUGUUUAUCUCUGCAGAGUACCUACAUUGUUCCCUCUUAUGAUAGGAGCUCAAACACAUGUUGAUGAAAGGGAGGGAGGAAGGAAGCAGGCAGGCCCGCAGGCCCAUGCCCUUCUUUUACAGAUAAGGAGACAGAGCUGGGACGGGUGGAGGAGUGUUCAAGGACAUUCUUGGCUAGAAACUUACUAUCUAAAAUAGUAAAGAGACCUCUAACCAUUCUGCUGACAAACUUAUAAGCACAAUAAGCUUUGAAUAACAAACACUCCGCAGGUAAAGUUCCAUGACAACGAUUCUUGUUAUAAAGUUGUGGUCUUCAUAGAGAAGUGCUUUCCUCUCUCAGGCAGGAAAAGAGUUCCUUUAAAAUAGAUCGAAAUGCUCUGUGAUGAAUAAUACGAAGCAGUAAGGCCUUCACCUGGCCUGGGUCCAAAUAACAGGUUCUAUUCAGGUGGCUCUGAAAGCACCUGAUUGUGUGCUGUCGCCACUGUGGGCAGGGCAAGUCCAGCAGAACUUUACAAGUCUUUUGUUCUGCCAGCAAGCAGUAAUUGGUUCUCCACCCCAGUGUAGUAAACUUCCAGCCACCUGAAUGAAAUUCACCUAAUUUAACAAACUGCACGAGAAGCAAAGCAACUCCCGGAGCAUACACAGGUGUGAAUAUUGUGCAUCUGUCUUCUCUGUGAUUCCUCUUGUCUUGAGGCUUCCACACCCCUCUGGUCCUUGGUUCGUCCUGUCCCCUCUUCUCCAGACCCAUCUUCCCAUCUACUGCAGACCUGGCUCUAUUGGGUAUUGAAUCUGCUUCUCUCCACACCUCAGUUUCCCCCUUUCACCUAGCUCUUCCUUUUAGCUUCUAAACAUGCUCAAGGCUUGCAGCCUAAAAAUGAAAAUACUACAAACUACUCUUUAUUCUGCUUCUUCCCCCACUGUGUGCCCCUUCCAGUCAUAAGCGAUUCUGCAAGGAACCAUCUAUACUCAGUCUCUACCAUCUCAUUUCUUGCUACAUAGCAAACAACGUUCUAAGAAUUUUACAUAUAUUGACUUAUGGAAGCCUGACAACAUCACUGUGAUGUAAGUGCUAUUGUUAUUUACAUUUUAUGGAUGAGGACAAGGAGGCACUGAACAGCAAAGUAUUUGCCCUGGAUCACCAGGAUUUGGGCAAAGGUAUGCUCUGAGACCUUUUUCCCCGCCUUAUGCCCAUUACAAGGUACCUUGAAUGAAAAAAUACACAAGAACAUUGCAUGGACCUGUCUCAUUUAUUGAUUCAUUCAUUUCUUCAUUAUUUAACACUUACUGGAGGCCUACCAUGUGCAAGACAAGAGAAAGACAUGAGUCUGCUGUUGACAUGGUCAGAGUCCAAAAUGGGAGGCAGGCCUGCAAUAUAGCAUAAGAAGAGCUCUGGUAAAUAGGUGACAGGGG
rnacentral:lncRNA from 10 species